rnacentral:rRNA from 1 species
UACGGAGGGUGCAAGCGUUAAUCGGAAUUACUGGGCGUAAAGCGUGCGCAGGCGGUUUGUUAAGUCUGUUGUGAAAUCCCCGAGCUCAACUUGGGAAUUGCAAUGGAUACUGGCAGGCUGGAGUAUGGUAGAGGAAGGUGGAAUUCCCGGUGUAGCAGUGAAAUGCGUAGAGAUCGGGAGGAACACCAGUGGCGAAGGCGGUUCUCUGGGCCUUACCUGACGCUGAGGAGCGAAAGCGUGGGGAGCGAACAGG